rnacentral:snRNA from 1 species
GUGCUCACUUCAGCAGCACAUAUACUAAAUCAGAAGAAUACAAAGAUUAGCAUGGUCCCUGUGCAAGGAUGAAGCAUUCCAUAUUUUU